CGAAGAUCAUACGCCGACUACAAGAUAAGCUAGCAAAGAAGAAAGAGGAACUGAAGAAUCUAAAAAACGAGGCGUCGACGGCGCAGUCUUCGCUGGCGAGCGCGCGGCUGGAGGCGUCGCGGCUGCAGGAGGAGCUGGCAGAGUCCCGCGCCGAGGCGGCGGCGGUGCGCGCCACACUCGCCUCCCGUGACGUCGAGCUGCACGAGCUGCGCGGCGUGCGCCGGGAGAUCGCCAGGCUCUCCGCCAAGCCCGACGCCGCCGCCUCCUGACCGAAAAUGAGAAUACAGCAUGGAGCUCGAAGCAAGUUUACGAAUUUUGUAUGUGAUGAUAAAGAAGAAGAAAUUAAUCAAAUUGAUUACAUUUUUAUGGCCACUAGCUUUUCUUAUGUCGUCAUAUCAACUGAUAUUGGUCGUCAUCGAAAUGGUCACUUGGUGAUAAUUUUUUCUAUCGAUUUUGUGAAAGAAUUUAUCGCUGUAUUCAGCUUUGUUAUUAAAUGAAGUAAGAAUGUAUUCUUCACAUUCUGUGAUGGAAAAUACACUUAUAA